rnacentral:rRNA from 1 species
UUAAACGUCCAUGUCACGUUGAAUACACCGGUUCUCGUCCGAUCACCGAAAUUAAGCAACGUCGGGCACGGUCAGUACUUGGAUGGGUGAGCGUCUGGAAACACCGCGUGACGUUGGCU